UGCCAAAAGUCAGCUUUGCGUAACUAUUUUUUAAAAUGUCACUUUGUUUCCUCUUAAUGACUUCCUGUGAUAUUUAGAUAAAAUUGAAUUACUUUUGGUUCCUGUAAACACCUAAUUUUUUACCAAGUUAUAUAUUCGUUUUUGAGUUUUUAGCUUGGACUUUUACUUUAUUUGAAUUUUUUUGUUUCUUUUGAAAAUACAAAAACAUAGUUCUACUUUUCAACUUUGUCCAUUUUUAUUGGUAUGUGCAUUUUAAAAAAAAAAAUACAUACAUAUAGUAUAUUGGACUAAGUUUGUAGGGACCAAAUAUGGGCUCAUUUAGGGACAAGGCUGAAGCCCAUUUAUUUUUCGGUCCAAAGAGCAGCACAUUUCGUCAAGGUUGAAAAUAUUUUGGUCCCCGGCAUAAAAAAAAGGGGGUAGCCCAUGAGUUAAUCUGAGCCAUUCCUUGUCUCUAGAUCCAAGGACUCACGUAAUAUAUAUAUAUAGCUAGUUAUAAACCCUAAUCACUUAACAAGUUCCUCCUGCCAAAUUGUUUGUAGCUGGAAUUCGUUGUUAUUUGAAGAAGAUUGAUUGUUAAGUUGAUGAUUCCGACGAAUAUGAAUUGCAAUUGAUCUGGAGAAGCUUAUGUUGUGAAGGAUAGGAUCAAGCAUUGUUUAAGUCAUAUUACCAGAAAAGAAGAUGAGUUCGUUUGUGUUCGAAUUGGAAAAUGUCGGAAUCUUUAAGACUUCUGUUCUUUUUAUGAUGUUGGUUGCCUGUUUAAGACUAUUAAGGAAGUUAGUAGUAGUUUGUUUGGUAACUGUAAUAUGAUGGUGUUGUUUUGUUUUGCAUGGGGAAAACAUGGUAUAUUUUGUUUGGAUCUCUAUACUAUUUUGUUGUCACACCACUAGUGUUAAACAAUGUUCAGUGUUUUCAUCGAAUGGCUAUUCCAAGCUAUUGUA